GCUGUUCGCUAAUUAAAGCGGUACGCGAGCUGGGUUCAGAACGUCGUGAGACAGUUCGGUCCCUAUCCGUCGUGGGCGCAGGAUACUUGAGAGGAGCUGACUUUAGUACGAGAGGACCGAGUUGGACAGACCGCUAGUGUUCCGGUUGUGGCGCCAGCUGCAUCGCCGGGUAGCUAUGUCUGGACUGGAUAACCGCUGAAAGCAUCUAAGCGGGAAGCCACCCUCAAGAUUAGGUAUCCCGAGCCGUAAGGCUCCUGAAGACCCCACGUAGACUACGUGGUUGAUAGGCUGGGUGUGGAAGUACAGCAAUGUAUGGAGCUAACCAGUACUAAUCGGUCGUGUGGCUUGACCACC
rnacentral:rRNA from 1 species